rnacentral:rRNA from 1 species
AUAAUGACUCUCGGCAACGGAUAUCUAGGCUCUUGCAUCGAUGAAGAACGUAGCGAAAUGCGAUACUUGGUGUGAAUUGCAGAAUCCCGUGAACCAUCGAGUCUUUGAACGCAAGUUGCGCCCGAUGCCAUUAGGUUGAGGGCACGUCUGCCUGGGUGUCACA